UACGUAGGGUGCAAGCGUUGUCCGGAAUUAUUGGGCGUAAAGAGCUCGUAGGCGGUCUGUCGCGUCGGCUGUGAAAACCCGGGGCUCAACCCCGGGCCUGCAGUCGAUACGGGCAGACUAGAGUGCGGUAGGGGAGACUGGAAUUCCUGGUGUAGCGGUGAAAUGCGCAGAUAUCAGGAGGAACACCGGUGGCGAAGUCGGGUCUCUGGGCCGUAACUGACGCUGAGGCGCUAAAGCUAGGGGAGCGAACGGG
rnacentral:rRNA from 1 species